AAAACUCAGACCUUGGCUUUGUGUGAAACUCCCAGGCGAGACACCAGGCCCUGCAGCUAUUGCCAUCUUCUGUGGUUGCUUCACAAGGUGUCCUGCUGUCCUCACUCCAUGUCUUUCCCUGAGCAUCUGUUAGAAGUGGAAGCCGUGAUGCACCUUAAGCCUCCUGCAAAAGAAAAUGUAUUGAUCUGAUCCUGGGAAAGUGACUGUAGUGCUCAACAGAACAGUUCCUGCCACAUAAUUUUGAUGUUCAUAAGGUUGUGUAAUAUUUCAUAUGAAAAGCCUCUGUCAACUUCUACUGACUGCUGAAUCUUAAAAUGAUUCAUCCACACAAAUGUAUUUUUCAGGAGACUGACCUCACUGCAAAAUACAAUUUAAUUAAACAUAUGUUGAUUAUAAAAAACCAUCUGUAAUAAACUAGGAGAGGAGAGACUGGUUCCACUGACAGCAAAUGAAGGUUUUCCCAUUAGUUCCCUGAAGUUAGGGGUUUCAGUCUCAAGACAUAAUUACAGAUGCUAAAUUAGUUAAAAGAAGAAAUGAUAUAACACUGUCCUAAGAUGACUAUUCGAAGUGAGCAAUUGCUGCUCUAGUUGCCAUAGGGAUACUGAAUGAAUGCAGAUGAGGUAGGAGAUAUCCAGAAGGCUCUGUGAACACGAGU